UAUGUUGCCCAAGCUGGUCCUGAACCCCUAGCCUCAAGUAAUCCUCCUGCCUUAACCUACCAAAGCAUUGGGAUUAUAAGUUUGAGCCACCGUGAUCAGUCCAGGGUAGGAAAUGGAAUCUUAACAACUGUCACAUGAGCUUUGAGGGGAUCCUUCUCCAGAUGAGCCUUCACUUGAGACCUCAGCCUUGGACAUCAUCUACACCUAGAUUCCUGACCCAGAGCAACUGCUUAGUUUUCUAAAGACAACUCGCCUUCAAGCCUUGUUGGAAUCCUGUGAUAAUUUCUUUUCACUCCACAUUCUCCAUCAAGAAUUUUGUGGAACUUUGUAUUCUGUGGAAUACCAGAAUUAUAUCAGCAAUUCCCAAGCCCCAAAGUCACCAAAUGGGCAUCAUCGUUGACAUCAGACUUCAUCAUGAAUUCAUGGUACCACACAGUCCCCUGACGCUCACAUCAUGGAUUUAUUUUGUCCAGUGAGAGGCCCAAAAGCUUCAGCAUAGACAAUAUCAUCGUAUAGAAGGUUAACUCGGAAUGAAAAUAGAAGCUUAUAAUCAUGGGGUUGUAGGCUAAUUCCUGCUUACAGAGACCUGAAAUGAACCUUUAGACACCAGGCAUAUGAAGACUGUGAUCACAGGCUACAUUCUCCAUACCAACUUCAUAGCUCCUGUGAGAAAAUAAACUCCUGCAUCCAGAAGGCGUGGAGUAAGAGACACAGCUGACCUUGACUAUAUUCCUUACUUCCAAGAAGAUUGUAGCAGUAAUUCAGGUGACCUAAUCUGGCACCAUCUAAAUGGAUCCACUCAUUCUUCUUUGUCUGUAAUGUAGCGCUCUCCCUGCGAGCAAGCUGACGUUGUUAAUUUAAUCAUACUUCCUGAAUAAGGUAUGUUGCUGUGUAAGAAAAUACAAGUUGAAAAGCUCAAAAUACUGUGUAAUUCCAUUUAUAUGACUCUCUUGAAAAGGAAAAAGUGUAGUGAUAUGUAAAGAGUUCGGUGGUUACAAGGGGCUUGGGAGAGAGAAAGGUGCAAUCAGUGAACUACCGAAGGUUUCUUUUGGGCAGUGGCAUUACUCUCCUUGAUACUGUAAUGGUGAAUACAUAAUCAUGUUUUCCAAAUCCUGAAGAACUUCGUAACACAAAGAGUGUACCUAAAUUAUGCAAAUUAAAAACCUUAUUUAGUAGGUAACAAGUUUGCCUUUUCACAGUAUUUUACCUUUCCAACUUAUAUUUUUUCACAAUGUGCUUUUUAGAUUUUUGAAGUACACCUCAUGGUUUUUAGAUUUGCCUUCACCUAAUUUUUGUAGGACAGGUGAGUCACAGAAUUGGGGCUUAUCCUGAGAGGGUUAUUAGCUUUGUCCAGGAAAGAAUUUAAGGGCAAGUGGGUGAUGUUAGACUGCAAUAUUUUAUUGAAUGGUACUGCUCCUAGCAGAGCAGGGCUAACUCUUAAGCAGUGUGUUCAGAGUUGGCAACAUAUAGGCCUCUUGGCAACUGUAUUUAUGUGCAUUCAAACCCACUUUUAAUUAUAUGCAAAUUGAAGGGCAGGUCAAUGCAAAUUGAGACAGGAAAGGGACAGUGGCUUCUAGGUUGUCUGCAUGGAAAGGGGCAGUAACCUCUGAGUUGUGGCCAUGGAAUUUGUGAACAGUUAUGUGGUUGGUAGGAGUGUCUUAUGUGAGUGACAAAUGAAGACUGCCAGGGAUCACAUUUGCCGCGAUGUACUGGCUUCUGCCAGUUUUUCACUUUAUCCUGUCUGGAGCAGAUCUUGUUUUGGUCAUCAAGGUUGUGAAACCAGAAAACAAGUCCUUCCGGUCUCCUACCUCAUAAUGAGGACAUUGGGCAUAUUUUCAUGUGAUUUUGGAUCUGACUAUGGCUUUCUUUUCAGAAUUGGCUAUUUAAGAUUUUGCCAUUUUUGAUUGGGAUAUUUGCCUUUUUAAUUUUGAAUUGUAAGACAUUGCAUAUUCUGGAUAAUAGACCAUUAUCACCUAUGAAAUUUGCAAUUUUCAGAUGUUUUCUGCCAUUCUUUGGGUGCCUGUUUAUAUUUGUUGGUGGACUUUAAAUUGUAAAAGGUUUUAAUUCUAAUGAAGUUUAAUAUUUCUAUAUUUUCUUCUUUCCUUUGUGCUUUCAGUGUCAUAUCUUAAAACACUGUUUAACCAGAGACCACAAAGAUGUAUUCCUAUGUUCCUUUUUAUGGGUGGGGCCUGUUUAGCUCUUAUAUUUAGAUGGAUGAUCAUUUUGAGUCUAUUAUGUUUCUGGUAUGAAGCAAGAGUCUAACUUACAUGUGGAGAUGCACUUGCCCCAGAAACAUUUGACAAUAAAAUUUUGCUUCAUACCUAAUUUAUUUGGCCACAUUAUAAAAGCAUUUCACCGUAAAUGUAAGGAUUCAUUUUUGAGCAUUAUAUUCUACUCCAUUGAUCAAUACAUAUAUCCCUAUACUAGUACCACAAAUCUUGAUUACUAUUACUUUGUAGUAAGUUUUGAAAUCAGGAAGUAUAUGUCUACUAUGGAAACCCUUUUUGUCCUUCUCAAGAGUAUUUUGGCUGCUCAGGAUCUAUAUUAUAUAUAAUUUUAGGAUGACCUUCUAAAUUUAGGGGAAGGUGAUGCCACCUGAGGUUUUGAGAGAAGUUGCAUUAAUUCUAUAGAUCCAUUUGGAAAAUACCGCCUAGCUAACAAUAUUAACCUUUCUAAACAAUGAGCAUUCAAAGAUUUUCUUUUAAUUUUGUUCAAUAUGGAUUCUAUAGUUUUUAGUGUACAUAUUUUGCGCUUAAUUUGAUAAGCUUAUUCCUAAGUAUUUUUGAUGCCAUCUCAAUUGGAAUGGUUUUCUGAGUUUUGUUUUUAGAUUGCUAGUAUCAAGACAUUUAAAAUAUUUUAUAUUAACAUUAUAUACUGCAAACUUUUUUGAACUCAUCUUUAAAUUCUAAACAUACUUGAUUAGAGUCCUUUGGACUUUUAAUACAUAAGAUCAUGUCAUUUACAAAUAGUCAGAGUUUGACUUCCUUUCCAUCCUAGAAACAUUAUAUUUAUUUUUCUAAAUGAAUUGCCCUGUCUACAUUCUCCAGUACAAUGUUGCAAACAAGUGUCAACAGAGGAAAUAUUUGACUUGUUUCUAAUAUCAAAUAAAUUAGUCAACCUUUCAGAUACUUAUGAUGAUGUGUGAGUUUUUCACAGAUGCUCUUUGAAAUGAAGAAAGUUCUCUUAUCUGCCUAAUUUGCUGCAUGUUUUUAUAAUACUGAAUCUGGGAAUUUUCAAGUGCUUGUUUGACACCUUUACUGUCACCUAAUUUUUGUAGGACAGGUGAGUCACAGAAUUGGGGUUUUUCCUGAGAGGGUUAUUAGCUUUUCAUAUUAACCUUUGAGAUGAUUGUAUAGUUUUUAUUCUUUGUUAAUAUAGUGUAUGACAUUAAUUGUAUCAUAUGUUGAACCAAAUUUGCAUUCCUGAGGUAAAUACCCUUUGCCAUGGUGUAUAAUACUUUCUACAUGUUGCUGAUUUCAUUUGAUAAUAUUUCCCUGGUGAUUUUUGUCUCUAUAUUUGUAAGGCAUAUUGGUCUUCAUUUUCCUUAUUUAAAUGUCUGUCUAGUUGUUCAAUCAGGGUAAACUAAUCCAUAAUAUACAAUGGUAAGUGAUCUAUUUUCUACUUAUUUAUUAUUAUUGUAUUGUUUUGAAAUAUUUUUGAUAAAUUAGUAUUAAUUUUAAGUGAUUUUAAUAACACACCAGUGAGUUCCUGAUGAGGGCAGGGAAGUGAAUCCUAAGAACAAUCAUGUGAGUUUGGAAGGAGACCCUUCCCCAGCUGAGCCUCAGCCUGAGCUAUCACCUACAUCUGGACCGAAGACCCAGAGAAACUGAAUUGUUCAGGACCUUGCACUCUGUUGAUACUCACACGGUGGAAUUAUAUUUCUCUUGGCCAACCCUAAAGCCAUCAAAAUAGCAGGUUUGGAAUAAUUCAGUGGUGAAGUCUUCUUGAGCUGAGCAGUCAUGUGAGCUUGGAAGAGGAUCCUUCCCCAGCUGAUCCUUCAGGUCAGACCUCAGUCUCGGUCAUCAUCUACAUCUGGAUUCCUGACCCAGAGAAACUACAUUCCAGCAACAAACCCUCUGGGCUCUACACAGGCUGGAGUCCUGCCCUUAUUACCUCUCUGAACAGCUCUCCCUGCAAGCUCAAGUGUCCUUCACGGUCAUGGGGUGCUGCCAGGAUUCCAGAUGGCGGUGAAUUAAGGAUCAUUAUUAAGUUGUUAAUGGGUCAAGAGAAAGUUACCACUGAAGUCUUCUCUACCUGGGCAACAAUUGACUCCUAACAACCACUAUAAGCUUGAAAGAUGAUCCCUCCCCAGCUGAUUCUUCAGGAGCUUCAGAGGCUGCAUCCUGAUACAGAGCAGACAUCUCUGGAAUUCCCUUUCUGACAAAAGAUUACUUCAAGGCCAGAACCCACUCCUGGCUAAAGAUUAACUAUGAGAGUGACUGCCAUUGAUUUGUAACCUGGUUGGGCCCACGAUGGUGCUGGCCCCUUUGCUAGAUGGAACAAUAAUUCAAGACAAGCCACUGGAGCAGGUCACAUCACCUGACAUCUCUUAGUUCCUUGUUUCUCAUGCAUUCCAAACCCCUCUCUCCCAAAAUUGCAUAUUCCCUCCACAAAUUGAAGAGUGGAACAUUUUGGAAAGAAUUCCACCCACUCUUCCCCUUGCUAGCACAUAUAAUAAAGCUCACUCUCAUUCUGUGACACCUUACUCUUGUUGUUUUGGCUUUUCUCUGUAAGUGGUGAGCAGAUGGACCCUUUUGCUGGUUACAGUUUCACUUAGAGCACACUUAGAACCUCUAAGCCUACUUACGUGGAGAUGGAUCUCAACAUUUAUUUUUUCUUCAUCACUUUGCCUAGCAACAUUAGAAACAACCAACUAACAUAAUUGUAUUCCUUGGUUUUCCAAGUCUGAUAUGACCUCAAAUAAGUGUGGCAUUAUCAAAGGUCCUAAUUAACAGAGAUGAUGAUAAUGGAGGAAUACUCGUAGACAAGAUGAGUUAAAAGGUGAGUCAGAAGAGUUUGACCUGACUGGCAGAAAUUUUGGAAUACUUUCGUUAAUGUAUUUUGCUUUUGUAUUCCAUCACAUAUGAUCAUAGGAGUGUUUUAAGACAAAUAGCCACAUUUACAAAAGUUCAAAAGUUAUUUUCAGUAAUUAUGAAAUAGUUAUGCUGGCAGAUGAAGCCGUCAGAGGGGGCCGUAGCCAGGUUGGCCUUGGUGAAAGUCCCUGUUGGUGUGAGCAUGCGUAAUCUUCGUCUCUGGCACUGUGAUCGCUUUAUUCAUUAGCAAAUUGUGCAAUUAUAAGUGAUAAAUGAUAAGACAUUUGUGCUAUAGUUUUUCGCUGGUUUUAUGCUUGUGACAUAAAAUAAUGACGUAUUUAUAAGUGAUUCACAUGAUACUUCCUGCAAGUACUUGGAAAAAGCAGUCACUGUUAGCAAAUGCUGAUAAAAUGUGUACUGUUGAACAAUGAUGAGACUGCACAUUUUAUGUAUUAUUAGUUCACUCAAUCCUCACAUCAUCUCAAGAGGCAGACAAACACUAUUAAGUCCCUCAAGUUCUAGUUCUGAAUCUGAACCAAAGUUCUAUAGGAAGAGGAGCAAUAGAAGAGAUUCUGAAGAAUGAGAAGUGAGGCAAGCAAACAGCAAAAGGGAAAGAGAAGAGAAAAAGUGUGUCGGUGGCACAGGCUAGGGUGUGAGAAGAGGGCAGUGGUAUUAGCGGACUGCUGGGUUCAGUGACAUGUAAGGACCGCAGAAGCAGGAAGGGCAGACUAUGGAGGGACUAAGCCAGUGAGAGAGGGCAGCUCAGGCAGCGAUGCAGCAGCAACUCAGAGAGGAAUACAUUCUCUAUGGAGGAACUUUAAAUGUCUAGAUCUAGUUUUGUUUUUCUGAGAUGGAGUGUUGCUCUGUCACCCAGACUGGAGUGCAA